UACGUAGGGUGCGAGCGUUAAUCGGAAUUACUGGGCGUAAAGCGUGCGCAGGCGGUUCGUUAAGUCAGAUGUGAAAGCCCCGGGCUCAACCUGGGAACUGCAUUUGAAACUGGCGGGCUUGAGUAUGGCAGAGGGGGGUGGAAUUCCGCGUGUAGCAGUGAAAUGCGUAGAGAUGCGGAGGAACACCGAUGGCGAAGGCAGCCCCCUGGGCUAACACUGACGCUCAGGCACGAAAGCGUGGGGAGCAAACAGG
rnacentral:rRNA from 1 species